UGACCUCUGUGAUUUCCCCAAAUGUGGGAAACUCAACUGCAGAAUUUCUGGUAGUGGGGGACUGCGUUCGCGCUUUCCCCUG
rnacentral:snRNA from 1 species